ACAAGUGGUGGAGUAUGUGGUUUAAUUCGAUGCAACGCGAAGAACCUUACCUAGGUUUGACAUCCGGAAAACCUUCCCGAAAAGGAAGGGUGCCCUUCGGGGAAUUCCGAGACAGGUGCUGCAUGGCUGUCGUCAGCUCGUGCCGUGAGGUGUUGGGUUAAGUCCCGCAACGAGCGCAACCCUAUUGCCAGUUGCUACCAGGUAAUGCUGGGCACUCUGGUGAGACUGCCCGGUUAACGGGGAGGAAGGUGGGGACGACGUCAAGUCAUCAUGGCCCUUACGCCUAGGGCUACACACGUACUACAAUGGCGCAUACAAAGGGCAGCGAUACCGCGAGGUGGAGCCAAUCCCAAAAAAGUGCGUCCCAGUCCGGAUUGCAGUCUGCAACUCGACUGCAUGAAGUUGGAAUCGCUAGUAAUUCGAGAUCAGCAUGCUCGGGUGAAUGCGUUCCCGGGCCUU
rnacentral:rRNA from 1 species